rnacentral:rRNA from 1 species
UACGUAGGGUGCAAGCGUUGUCCGGAAUUACUGGGUUUAAAGGGUACGUAGGCGGGCAUCUAAGUCUGGAGUGAAAGUUUGAGGCUCAACCUCGAAAGUGCUUUGGAUACUGGUUGUCUAGAAUUAGAGAGAGGUAGCUGGAAUUUGUGGUGUAGCGGUGAAAUGCAUAGAUACCACGAGGAACACCAAUUGCGAAGGCAGGCUACUGGCUCUACAUUGACGCUGAUGUACGAAAGUGUGGGUAGCGAACAGG